ensembl:lncRNA
UUUCUGUCCUUUGAAGCUUCCAUUCAUGGGCGGGACAACAGGAAACAAACCCCAGGCAUGCAGCCUAACUCUACACUUCAGUGAGCAAAGAAUUUCCAGACACCAGGAGGAAAUUUUCUGGCAGAGAGUGUUGAGGGAAACACAAAGAUGGAUUGAGGCAAAGUGCUUAUAAAGUCUGAGCAAUUUUGAGGGAGAAUUACCUACAGUCUCUGCAGUUCAGGGUAAUUUGCAGUGCUUGGUUGCUUCUCCCCUCAUGCGGCACAAACGGAUAACUGGAGAAUUGGUUCUGCCAGAUCCUCGUUGUAAGCUCUUUAAGGAUUGCUUUAUAGACCUUCCAUUUUAAAACCGGGUGAAGAGAUGAAUAUAUGUGAUUAAAGAUCGAGCUGGGAAGUAUUAGUGUCCAUUUUUUAUUAUGUACAAACAAAAAAUAAGUUAGCCAUAUGCUGUGCCUCGUUUGUUUUGGACUGGUGCACCAAAUGGAAUCUCUAAUAAAUCAUUCAUCGCUUACCCACCCCCUCACUUUCUUAUGUUUCCAUCCUGAUAGGUAAAUAUCACUGACAUUUGAAAGGAGGCUAAUAAAAAAAAAAGGAUUAAAUCUGCAAUUUACAUUUGCAACUUGCAGUUCAAUAAUUUCAGACAGAUAUGGAAACACUCCUGGUUGUCCACCUACAUUCUUCUUGCUGAGCAAAAGCAGGCAUGCCAAGCACAUGCUGAUAGCUCACAAAAUACAUUUCUCCAGAGGCUCAGUUACUCAGAGCUGGACAGGCUGCGGCCAGCUGCCAUGAGGAAAAACAUUGUGCAAAUCCAGUAAGAGGGAGGAGUUGGGAUCACUGAUCCUUACGAGUCUCUUCCAACUUGGGAUAUUCUGUGAUGCUACAACUCUAACUUCAUGUAACUUCAGAGCGUAUUGAAAGGUCUCUGCACUGGGAUAUUUGGCAAAGGAAAGAAGAUUCUUCCAGAAGUCUGCUCUGCUCCCUACACUUCAGCCUGGGGUGGUGGCUGGCAUGGGCAGCCUUGGCACAGCCUCCUUAGGAAUGAAGGGAAGAUUUGUGACUUGGUCACGCGCUUGCCUCAGCAAAACCCAACCUCCACUUGAAUGCCAAGAAGCUGGGACCCCAGCCAACACUCUCUGACAAGCAACGUGGGAGUGAUGUUCUGUGGGAUUACUGCAUCUUCUGUAAUCUUUGCUUUGGCAUAUCUCAAGCCCUCUGACAGCAUGUCACCACUGCUAUAAACAACCAGGAGCCUGAACAUAAUUCAGAUGAUAUUAUCUAGGUAGCUGAAGGUAGUUAUGUCCAAGGCCAUAACUAACCGCCGCACUAAAUAAAUUCAAGAAGUUGAAGGCAAAAAUGUCUCUUUGCCAUAGUCCUUCCAGGAAUGAUUGCAUCUUUGCCUUUCAAAGGAGCCUGCCUACAGCGCAUUGUGAGUUCUGACAAAAUGUCUGGCAUGGGACCAGGUAAAGAGCCAAUGCACUCCAUCAUUUGCCAUCUGUGCCUUUGUAUCUGUUGCCUACUAUGAUCAUGUCCCUUGCAA